CCUUGAAAAACAAGCAAUAUUGUGCACUAGAGUCGAGUAAUUUGCCUGCCUUGAUCUUGUAUAAUAAAUAUCCCUUUAAAGAUGGGAUGCAAAAACCAGCGUGGGGGACCACAGGCAAGGGGGCUUUACUAAAGCUAAAGCCACUUUAGUCCCCAAGGGGAUUUACUAAUUAAAACGAAAGCCACUUUAGCCCCCCCCCACUCCCCAAAAUAAUUUUUAUGGACAUGCACUUUGAGUGGGAAUUUCUUACAUUGAAUUUGUUUUCGCCCACUCCAAUCUAAACACUGAAGUUUAUAUAAAUAAAUAUAGCUUCACUCCUUCAGUAUUACAUUUUAUAUGCAUUCAGGUCUAAAAAAAUAAACUAUUAAAGUACAUUUAAAAAAUCUGUCGCUUUCCUACUUGGCAACAGAUUUAGCACAAUCGGCCAUUCAGGAACAUUUAGAUCGUUUUCUCAUUUGUGUGUAUUUUUAAAACCAAUUUUAGCACGUCGAUACUGUCAAUAUGUCAUAGUUCAUAUACUGACAUAUAUAUUUUCGCUUCGUUAUUCUGUAAACAUGCAUAACUUGCAAUAUACAAUAUUCGUGGUAGUUAGUAAACUGGUUUAAUGCGAAUUUAUAUAAAAAAAUUAAACCUGAGUCAAACACUAUCGUUUGGGAUUUAAUUCGGGUAACUUGUCGAUCUCUUAACUUCUGUUGUUGUUUCGAUGCACCACUCUUCGCACUUAUUGAAAUGCAAUUUUCGUUUAUCCGGUAUUGCGAUAGCCUUUUUUGUGAAACUAAAUAAGUUCCUCACUCAGUUAUCUUGUUCCCCCUUUUUCUUCUCCUUUGUUUUGCAGCGCAUUGAAACCAAAAUACAUGGCAUUUAACUUUUCAUUUAAACGAGAUUUGCUUGCCGCCAUUUUGUUUUUUCGCUUGACCAGGAACUCUGGUCAUGCGAUUUUUCGUAAAAAAAGACCAGGAAAUUGACCAGAAUCCUGGUUGAUUGAAAUUUCAUUGACCCAUAUGGGGUCAAAAAACUUUGACCAGGAUUUUUUAACCAGGAU